UUGGCCUCUUUGAUAGGCCUUGAUUUGGGUCUGGCCGGUAAGAACAUAGACAAGAUAAAAGUCUGUAAUGUCAAUGCUGUCAUUUAAGUCAUUUAAUGCAAAAAUAUCAAUUUUCAUAUAAAACGAUUUAUUCACUUGAAAUAUAUUUAUUUACCUAUUAAUUUUAAAAAUAAAAUCUAUUCAUAUGUACGAGCAACAUAUCUAAAUGCGUCUUCGCACAGACUUAGUUAAAUUUAAACCGUUGUCUCUCUUCCUUCCUUGCUGUAUGUAUCCGGCAAUGGCGACUUUAUCAACAAUUCUUAUCCGGAUUAUGGAAAGCCCUAAUGUGUGUGUGGAAACCGUUGUAGUAAAUCAGAAACAGCGAUAAUUUCAAGAAAGUGAAUCAGCAGAUGGCUUGAGCGUGAGAUAAUAAUAUAAUCCUGGGCCGUCAUAUGAUUUCUUGGAAAAAGCUCAGAAGGGCACGUAUCUGCCGCAUAUCCAAACUAGUAUCCCGGUGACCAAGAACGCUGCGCGGAGCUGUGAAGCAGAAAAUGUCCGAUAACCGGAUAGAUGUAAUAACAACUUGUAACCAUUUGCCAUAUCAGUGUAUGUAUUCAUAUGUAUUAUGAAAAUAUUUAUAUCUUAAUAAUACGUAACUUUUUGUUACCUUUUAUAUUUCACGAAUUUCUGAAUAUAGUACCUAAUCAUUAUCUUUUAACGUAUUUUUUUACUUAUUUGUGAAAUGCUAAUUUCAGAGCCCAACAACGUG